rnacentral:lncRNA from 1 species
GAAAACUUAAAUAGAAUGUUGAGAACUUAGAAUCUCCAUGUUAGUAAGGAAAAAUUUGAAAAGAAACUAUUGUACUAAAUUCACUUUCUAUUAGUGUAAUUGUACUGCAGACAUGAGCUGAUAGUUGUUGGGUGUUAACGAGAGGAGUACGGUAUAUAUGAUUUACUUUAUCUUGCUGUACAUGAGUAAUUCUACUGCUCAUGCUUCAAGAUUUGACUAAGUGUGGAACAAUUGCUCACCGUUUCAUUACAAUAGUAGCAUCCACCGACUUAGGCUUUUAUAUUUCACGACACCAUUUAGUUCUAUUGUUUACUAGCACCAUACCACACUUAUAUUUUACCGACAUAAUUUUUUUAGAUAUUGUUAUAGUCCAAAUAAUUUUAAUACAUUUCUCUCAUAACUUCUUGGAAGUGCACAUAAUAUGUUAAGGACUAACGAGGGCAUGUUGAUGAAAAACUUUUCGACUUCUUAAUGUUAAUUAGGGAUAAAUUGAAAUUUAUAGUAGUUUAAGGGUAUUUAGCGGAUAAUUAAUUUAUUAGGGAAGAACACCAAAAUGAACCCUAAAAUAUUUUACAUUUAAUCACUAAUUCUCAUUACAUAAUUGGAGAUGCAGUCACUAACAAAUAAUUUCUUAACAGGCACCAUACCAAAAGAAAUUGGCAACUUUACUAAGCUUAAGGAGUUAAUUCUUUCCAAUAACAGACUUGAAGGUACGGAUUAUGACAGAAUUUGUAUCUAAAUAAAGUUUAUAGUCAUCACCCAUUGAUAUUUUACUUUAACCAAUGAUGCUCAUUCUUAGAAUAUCGUGAAGAUUAGUACGAAUAUUUGAAAUUGUUGAUUUGUGAUAAAUAGAUUUAGUGUUUAGCAU